GGUAUGCCACCCCCACAUGAUUCGAGCCUACAUGGUGAAGGCUCCUCUUUUAUGUCUCAGGACCAGUGGGGGUGGAUCCAGACGGAGAUGGGAACUCUCCGCACCGAGCAGACCAGACAAGGUGCGGAAUUAGAUAGACAGAGUGUGGAACUGUUCCGGCAAGGGACAGUCAUGGAUGACAUGCAGGCCAUGAUGCAACGU
rnacentral:lncRNA from 1 species